UUCUUUGCCUGCUUGCACUUACUUGCCAGAUUAUCUGUUGGAACCUACUUCAAGAUUCCAGCGUAUACAGAAGACCAGCUGAAACAACUAGCUUCACAGGACUUCCCACUCACAGCUGCCCAUCGUUGCGUUAGCUGGUCUACAAACUGUGGCUGAGUGGCAGACGCCAACAUGCAGAUCUUUGCCAACAUGCAGAUCUUCGUGAAGACCCUGAUGGGCAAGACCAUCACUCUUGAGGUAGAGCCCAGUGACACCAUCGAGAAUGUCAAGGCCAAGAUCCAAGACAAGGAGGGCCUCCCACCUGACCAGCAGAGGCUGAUAUUCGCCGGCAAACAGCUAGAGGAUGGCCACACCCUGUCUGAUUACAACAUCCAGAAAGAGUCCACCUUGCACCUGGUGCUGCGUCUGCGAGGUGGCAUCAUUGAGCCGUCCCUUCGUCAGCUUGCCCAGAAGUACAACUGUGACAAGAUGAUCUGCCGCAAGUGCUAUGCACGCCUGCACCCUCGUGCUGUCAACUGCCGUAAGAGGAAGUGUGGUCAUUCUAACAACCUGCGCCCCAAGAAGAAGGGCAAAUAAAGUUGGGGUCAUACCUGACCUGUGACCCUGGGACCAAAUAAAGUCCCCUCCCAUCGACUGGAGCAGUUAAAAUAAAUAAAUGAAUAAAUACAUUUUUAAAAAAUUCA